UUUCAGGUUUAACCUACAAGAAGCCCAGCUCCUCAUACCCAUGUGCAGCCCUGGGAUCCCAGCUCUCCACCCUGGGGAGGAUCCGCUCAGUACAGUAUUUGAACUGCACCCUUUGUCGGGUCUACCCUCUCUAGAAAGAGAUUUGGCCCUCGGAAGGGAGGGGAUGACACCACUUGAAGGUGAAAGUGAAGCCCAGGAAGCAAAUGACCUUUCCACAGAACCAAGACUGGAAACAGGGUCCCUUGACUCCUCAUUGUGAAGGCUCCUUCCACUCUUAAUGGGCUCUGGGAGCCAGUCUCCAAAAUGGCCCCUAAAGAUCUUACCCCUUACAGUUCCUGUGAUGGCCCUUGUACACUAAAAUAGGGCUCAUCUAUUGAGAGACUGUAGAAAAUAUCCAUGUGACUUCUAAGCCUGGGUCAUAAAAAACAUGGUGACCCCUACCUUGCGUCUCUCUGACAAAACUUGCGCUGAGGAAGCCAGGUGACCUGUCACAAGAACAUGCCAGGAGCCCUAUGGAUGGUCCACAAAGUGAGGAACGAAGGCCUCCUGUCAACAAUCAGAACCAACCAGACAAUUGAGUGGAUUAUCUCUAAUGCUGUACUCCACCCCCAGCUGACAUCUUUAUUGCAAGCUGAGGCAGAGACUUCAGCCUAGAGACACCUAGUUAAGCUCCUGACCAAUAAAGAAAGAUAA